AUUGAACGCUGGCGGCAGGCCUAACACAUGCAAGUCGAGCGGCAGCGGGACCUUCGGGUUGCCGGCGAGCGGCGGACGGGUGAGUAAUGCCUAGGAAUCUGCCUGUUAGUGGGGGAUAACGCGGGGAAACUCGCGCUAAUACCGCAUACGUCCUACGGGAGAAAGCGGGGGCUCUUCGGACCUCGCGCUAACAGAUGAGCCUAGGUCGGAUUAGGUAGUUGGUGGGGUAAUGGCCCACCAAGGCGACGAUCCGUAACUGGUCUGAGAGGAUGAUCAGUCACACUGGAACUGAGACACGGUCCAGACUCCUACGGGAGGCAGCAGUGGGGAAUAUUGGACAAUGGGCGAAAGCCUGAUCCAGCCAUGCCGCGUGUGUGAAGAAGGUCUUCGGAUUGUAAAGCACUUUAAGUCGGGAGGAAGGGCUGUAGGCUAAUACCUUGCAGUUUUGACGUUACCGACAGAAUAAGCACCGGCUAACUUCGUGCCAGCAGCCGCUGUAAAAC
rnacentral:rRNA from 1 species